AGCGAACGCUGGCGGCAUGCUUAACACAUGCAAGUCGCACGGUUGGGGGCAACUCCGGCAGUGGCGGACGGGUGAGUAACGCGUAGGAAUCUAUCCUUGGGUGGGGGACAACCGUGGGAAACUACGGCUAAUACCGCAUGAUCCCUGAGGGGCAAAGGCGAAAGUCGCCUGAGGAGGAGCCUGCGUCUGAUUAGGUAGUUGGUGGGGUAAAGGCCUACCAAGCCUGCGAUCAGUAGCUGGUCUGAGAGGAUGAUCAGCCACACUGGGACUGAGACACGGCCCAGACCCCUACGGGAGGCAGCAGUGGGGAAUAUUGGACAAUGGGCGCAAGCCUGAUCCAGCAAUGCCGCGUGGAUGAAGAAGGUCUUCGGAUUGUAAAGUCCUUUUGGCAGGGACGAUGAUGACGGUACCUGCAGAAUAAGCUCCGGCUAACUUCGUG
rnacentral:rRNA from 1 species